UUCCGCUUCCGGCGGUGACGGGAAGCGGAAGUUGCUGAGGGGACGUGUCCGAGCGCGGCGGGAGCCGGGAUCUGGGGCAAUAUGGAGCUAGAGGCAAUGAGCAGGUACACCAGCCCGGUGAACCCAGCUGUCUUCCCACACCUCACCGUGGUGCUGCUGGCCAUUGGCAUGUUCUUCACCGCAUGGUUCUUCGUCUAUGAGGUGACAUCCACCAAGUACACGCGAGACAUCUACAAGGAGCUGCUGAUCUCACUGGUGGCAUCGCUCUUCAUGGGGUUUGGCGUCCUGUUCCUGCUGCUGUGGGUUGGGAUCUACGUGUGAGGCCCAGGCAGAGUGAUGCGCGGACCCCCAGUGGCUGUAAGCAGGAUGAGAGCUUUGUGCUGCAUGUUGUGUGCCAGGUGGGAAGCCCCGGAGAAGUUCUUUUUGUAUGUUUUAUACUUCAGCAUGGGAGCUUGCUUCAGGCGUGGACUGUGCUCCUGUCAGCUGACUCCGGCCAGCACAACAAACCAAACCUGAAUAAAACUGGCUCUGUGAUGCA